rnacentral:tRNA from 1 species
GCUCUCGUGGUGUAGUGGUUAGCACGCUCGACGCGUAUUCGAGAGAUCCGUGGUUCGAUUUCCGUCGAGGGCG